CGUAGGCGGUCUUCUGUCGACUUCAAUAGCGUUUUGGGUUUUGUAAAGCCCUACAUUGCGUAACGGUGACUAAACCAUCCCCUUUAGCGCAUCCCCUAAUGUUCCCCAUUAGGGGAAGAACUAGAGGGGAUGGAUUUCUUGCAUACAUUUGUUAACAAGCACGUGAUGCCCUUGUUUUCGCGCACCGGGUCAAGGUAGGUGGUCAGUAUGUGUCACAUGCUCGUGACAGCGGCGGAUGAGCGG
rnacentral:lncRNA from 1 species